rnacentral:rRNA from 1 species
AAUGAACGCUGGCGGCAUGCCUUACACAUGCAAGUCGAACGGCAGCAUGACCUAGCUUGCUAGGUUGAUGGCGAGUGGCGAGCGGGUGAGUAAUGCAUCGGAACGUGCCUUUUAGUGGGGGAUAACGUAGCGAAAGUUACGCUAAUACCGCAUAUUCUCUGAGGAGGAAAGCAGGGGACCUUCGGGCCUUGCGCUAGAAGAGCGGCCGAUGUCGGAUUAGCUAGUUGGUGAGGUAAAGGCUCACCAAGGCAACGAUCCGUAGCGGGUCUGAGAGGAUGAUACGCCACACUGGGACUGAGACAAGGCCCAGACUCCUACGGGAGGCAGCAGUGGGGAAUUUUGGACAAUGGGCGCAAGCCUGAUCCAGCCAUGCCGCGUGAGUGAAGAAGGCCUUCGGGUUGUAAAGCUCUUUCGGCUGGGAAGAAAUCGCACCCUCUAAUACAGGGUGUGGAUGACGGUACCAGCAUAAGAAGCACCGGCUAACUACGUG